rnacentral:rRNA from 1 species
UACGAAGGGGGCUAGCGUUGCUCGGAAUCACUGGGCGUAAAGCGCACGUAGGCGGAUUGUUAAGUCAGGGGUGAAAUCCUGGAGCUCAACUCCAGAACUGCCUUUGAUACUGGCGAUCUCGAGUCCGGGAGAGGUGAGUGGAACUGCGAGUGUAGAGGUGAAAUUCGUGGAUAUUCGCAAGAACACCAGUGGCGAAGGCGGCUCACUGGCCCGGUACUGACGCUGAGGUGCGAAAGCGUGGGGAGCAAACAGG